GACGAACGCUGGCGGCGUGCUUAACACAUGCAAGUCGAACGGAAAGGCCCUGCUUUUGUGGGGUGCUCGAGUGGCGAACGGGUGAGUAACACGUGAGUAACCUGCCCUUGACUUUGGGAUAACUUCAGGAAACUGGGGCUAAUACCGGAUAGGAGCUCCUGCUGCAUGGUGGGGGUUGGAAAGUUUCGGCGGUUGGGGAUGGACUCGCGGCUUAUCAGCUUGUUGGUGGGGUAGUGGCUUACCAAGGCUUUGACGGGUAGCCGGCCUGAGAGGGUUGCCGGGCACAAUGGGACUGAGAUACGGCCCAGAAUCCUACGGGAGGCAGCAGUGGGGAAUAUUGCACAAUGGGCGGAAGCCUGAUGCAGCAAAGCCGCGUGCGGGAUGACGGCCUUCGGGGUGUAAACCGCUUUCGCCUGUGACGAAGCGUGAGUGACGGUAAUGGGUAAAGAAGCACCGGCUAACUUCGUG
rnacentral:rRNA from 1 species